rnacentral:lncRNA from 10 species
CCCCUUUCCCACCCAGGUGUGUUCUCGCUAUUGUUCCAUCUGCAACUGAGCACCUUUUCUGCAGAAAGUAAAGACAGCCUUGCUAAGAGAUCAUUUGUCUCCAAGCUGACUUUUCUUUGCAGCACCGAUUAUCUAUUUCUAACAAUUUUGGGGGCUCGUCCAGGAUUACAGUCUCCUCUAGGGUGGGUCUCCAGUCCUCUCUUGUGAGAAGGCAUGCCCCACUACCUCGUUUUUGGCAGCCUCAGGGGUGAGGAACCGAGAUCCACCCAGUGUGAUGAAUAAACUGGGACUCUCAGCAACGUGGAAAGAAACUGGCUAGCAACGUAGGGUAAAGGAUCCUCACAUACUGCGGUAAUGACUCUGCACAGACCAAGGAAGGAGAAACCAUGGGAGCUGGGUUUGCGUCCUCAUCUGCCUUUCCAGACCAGCAGUUCCCAAAAGCCAGUGUGAGAACCAUCUGCAUCAGAGUGACCAGUCUGUGAAGAUCAAGCAUAGGAAUGCCAGGACUCCACCCUACAUGUCCUUUAUCUGGGGUGGUGCCCAGGCUUCCCGAUUAUUCUACCAACUCUACCAAAUCCUUGUUCUUCGUUGCACAAUUAGCUGUGAAACAGACAGAGGUUACCUACAAUAAGUGCAUGUCAUUUUGGACUAGCCAUAUUUCAAGGGCUCAGUAUGGCUAAUGGCCACUAUAUUGGACAUCGACGGUCAAACCCAUUUUACAUUCCCCUGACAACUAUGAUUGGUGUGAGGCCUAUGAUGGCCCAACUAGGCUGACAGCAAAGAUCUUUCCUGUUGGCAAAGAUCAUCUUUCUCUCUCCUGCUGGCAAGAACAAGAAAGAAUAAAGGUCUGAUCAACCCAUGAGCUUUCUUGGGAUUUAUGAGGAGAACCAGACUUUGGAUGAAACUGACAUUGAAAUGAGCAGGAUGGAGAGAAAAAUCCUAGGGGUUUGGUGACAAUACUGGGCUGCUGAUUAAACUUGGAGUUUGCCCUGACUCUGAACUUUCUAUUUAGUGAGAUAAUAAUUGUCUCAAUUGUUUAAGCUAGCUUGUGUUGCUUCCAGCUAAAAGAGUGCCAGCUAUAUACAAUGUGCAAGCUGACAUGUUGUCAUGCUCUGACACUGAUGAACACACCCCCACAAGGCUGUGAAGUAGUAGGGGAAGAACUAACCUGCAUGGAGUUGGAAGGGGGGGAAAAACAAAAUCAAACCAUAUGGAAAGCAGUUGAAUUCACUGCAUUAAAUAUACUUUUUAAAAUGUACAACAUAAUAGCCAUAUGUUUAAGUCAGAAUCAUCUGCAAAGCACGCAUGUUCACUUUCUGUUCCAGAGUCAGGCGUCUGAAUUCUGUGAGCAAAGCCUAGAGAAAAAAAACUAAGCCUAUGCCAGAUUUACAGGAAUAGUUAUCUUUAUAAAGACUAUAUGAACUGUAAUACAAAGUUACAAAGCUGAAGGCAAAGCUUUUCAAUAAAGCAAGUGGCUCUCAAAGAGAUACCUUCAAGAGUGUGGUUCUAUGUUUCCCACCUAGUGCUAAGUAAAACAUACAUUUCAAUUAGAAUUAGAAUGUACUUCAGGAAGUAAAUUAUUAAAUGACCUAGCACAUUUUGAUGUUUUUAAAAGCCCAAACUCCCAGCUGUGGAGAACAAUGAGUCUUUAAUGAUAAUUUAUUCCCCUCUUGUUCCCAUGAUUGCUAGAUAGCUGGGGGCCCUAGAUACUUAUUGGGCUCCAGGGACCCAAUGUGGGCAUUGUCAGAGGAGGAUACCAAUUAGCAGGUUUGGUUUCACAAAGAAGCAAAGAUUGCCCUGAGGUGAAAAACUCUGUCUCAGAGAAAACACCCUUGAACUUGAAUUGUCUUUUUUGCUCAUCAUUAGAAGUCAGCAAAGGAUUUAGCCUCUCCCUCACCAAUUCAUUAUCCACACUCUUCAGAAAAAAAAAAAUAAUAAUAAAAUAAAAUAUUUUCUCUUAUUAUGAAGGUGACAAUAAAGACAGUAAGCUUACCACAUGCAGAAAAGAGAGUGACCACUUUCUACUAGUUUUAAUGGCACUAUCACUGCUUCCAAAAAUUGCUUUAGGUCACUUACGGCCCCUGGAGAUAAACAUCUGAGGAUUCUGCAUAAGGUCCUUAAUGGGUGUUUUCAGGACAGCAUAAUUACCUGAGGCUUGUAAGAGUGAAAAGCAUCAGCCUCAAGGUUACUGAAUAAUGUAUGGUUGCCUGUUUGUCUAUUAGAGAGAGAUAAAGAAGAACAAAAAUCCAGUCACCAUAUGAAUCACAAUUUUAUUAUCUUUUUCAUUCAUUUAGUAUUUCAUUCAACACAUUUGAAAGCAUUUAUUAUGCACCAGGCACUGUACUAAACACUUUAGAUUCUAGUAUGAUUAAGACAGCAGAGUUCUACCCAUUGAGAUGUUCACAAUCUAGGUGGGGAAGGACAUGGAGAAUGAAGAAUAAGCAGACCAUUAAUUCCCAGAAAGGAGUAGGGUUACCUCUGGGCCCCUGCGGAGGUCAAUGAAGCUUUGUCUAUGGCCUUUAAGAGCUUUUCAUUU